UGUGUACUUCCUCCGUUCCAAAAUACUUGACUUCCAUUUGUCCAAAAAUGGAUGUGCCUAUAUACUAAAACAUGUCUAGAUACAUAUAUAUUUUGACAAAUAGAAGGCAUGUAUUGUGCAACGGAGGGAGUAGAAU
rnacentral:pre_miRNA from 1 species